GAUUUCUGGUUCGGCGCACUUGGCCCGUCUCGGUUUACGAGAUUGUGUGCCGGUGUGCGCCAUCCAUCCUUCGAUGAAAACAUUUCUACCCUUCACUGGGUUGGAAGUGCUAUCUCGAUCUUUUACUUUGAAAAAAUUAGAGUGUUUAAAGCAGGCUUGCGCUAUGAAUACAUUAGCAUGGAAUAAUAAUUUAGGACUUUGGUCUUAUUUUGUUGGUUUCUAGGACUAAAGUAAUGAUUGAUAGGGACAGUUGGGGGUGCUAGUAUUCAGCGGCCAGAGGUGAAAUUCUUGGAUUCGCUGAAGACUAACUUAUGCGAAAGCAUU
rnacentral:rRNA from 1 species